rnacentral:rRNA from 1 species
UGGGGAAUAUUGCACAAUGGGCGCAAGCCUGAUGCAGCCAUGCCGCGUGUAUGAAGAAGGCCUUCGGGUUGUAAAGUACUUUCAGUCGGGAGGAAGGUGGUAAGGUUAAUAACCUUAUCAAUUGACGUUACCGACAGAAGAAGCACCGGCUAACUCCGUGCCAGCAGCCGCGGUAAUACGGAGGGUGCAAGCGUUAAUCGAAAUUACUGGGCGUAAAGCGCACGCAGGCGGUUGAUUGAGUCAGAUGUGAAAUCCCCGGGCUUAACCCGGGAAUUGCAUCUGAUACUGGUCAGCUAGAGUCUUGUAGAGGGGGGUAGAAUUCCAUGUGUAGCGGUGAAAUGCGUAGAGAUGUGGAGGAAUACCGGUGGCGAAGGCGGCCCCCUGGACAAAGACUGACGCUCAGGUGCGAAAGCGUGGGGAGCAAACAGG